rnacentral:rRNA from 1 species
GGCGAACGCUGGCGGCGUGCUUAACACAUGCAAGUCGAACGGAAAGGCCCUGCUUUUGUGGGGUGCUCGAGUGGCGAACGGGUGAGUAACACGUGAGUAACCUGCCCUUGACUUUGGGAUAACUUCAGGAAACUGGGGCUAAUACCGGAUAGGAGCUCCUGCUGCAUGGUGGGGGUUGGAAAGUUUCGGCGGUUGGGGAUGGACUCGCGGCUUAUCAGCUUGUUGGUGGGGUAGUGGCUUACCAAGGCUUUGACGGGUAGCCGGCCUGAGAGGGUGACCGGCCACAUUGGGACUGAAAUACGGCCCAGACUCCUACGGGAGGCAGCAGUGGGGAAUAUUGCACAAUGGGCGGAAGCCUGAUGCAGCAACGCCGCGUGCGGGAUGACGGCCUUCGGGUUGUAAACCGCUUUCGCCUGUGACGAAGCGUGAGUGACGGUAAUGGGUAAAGAAGCACCGGCUAACUACGUG